rnacentral:rRNA from 1 species
GACGGAGGAUGCAAGUGUUAUCCGGAAUCACUGGGCGUAAAGCGUCUGUAGGUCGUUCAAUAAGUCAACUGUUAAAUCUUGAGGCUCAACUUCAAAAUCGCAGUCGAAACUAUUAAACUAGAGUAUAGUAGGGGUAAAGGGAAUUUCCAGUGGAGCGGUGAAAUGCGUAGAGAUUGGAAAGAACACCAAUGGCGAAAGCACUUUACUGGGCCGACACUGACACUGAGAGACGAAAGCUAGGGGAGCGAAUGGG